GAUGAACGCUAGCGGGAGGCCUAACACAUGCAAGCCGGGCGGUAUUGUUUCUUCGGAAAUGAGAGAGCGGCGUACGGGUGCGUAACACGUGUGCAACCUACCUUUAUCUGGGGGAUAGCCUUUCGAAAGGAAGAUUAAUACUCCAUAAUAUAUUGAACGGCAUCGUUUAAUAUUGAAAGCUACGGCGGAUAGAGAUGGGCACGCGCAAGAUUAGCUAGUUGGUGAGGUAACGGCUCACCAAGGCGAUGAUCUUUAGGGGGCCUGAGAGGGUGAUCCCCCACACUGGUACUGAGACACGGACCAGACUCCUACGGGAGGCAGCAGUGAGGAAUAUUGGUCAAUGGGUGCAAGCCUGAACCAGCCAUCCCGCGUGAAGGACGACUGCCCUAUGGGUUGUAAACUUCUUUUGUAUAGGGAUAAACCUACCCUCGUGAGGGUAGCUGAAGGUACUAUACGAAUAAGCACCGGCUAACUCCGUGCCAGCCGCCGCCGUAA
rnacentral:rRNA from 1 species